rnacentral:tRNA from 1 species
GUGGCUGUAGCUCAGUUGGUUAGAGCGCCGGUUUGUGGUACCGGAGGUCGCGGGUUCAAGUCCCGUUAGCCACCCCA